rnacentral:rRNA from 1 species
GCAAGUCGAACGAUGAACACCGGAGCUUGCUCUGGUGGGAUUAGUGGCGAACGGGUGAGUAACACGUGAGCAAUCUGCCCCCGACUCUGGGAUAACCCCGAGAAAUCGGAGCUAAUACCGGAUACGACACCUCCUGGCAUCAGGUGGGUGUGGAAAGAAUUUCGGUUGGGGAUGAGCUCGCGGCCUAUCAGCUUGUUGGUGAGGUAAUGGCUCACCAAGGCGACGACGGGUAGCCGGCCUGAGAGGGUGACCGGCCACACUGGGACUGAGACACGGCCCAGACUCCUACGGGAGGCAGCAGUGGGGAAUAUUGCACAAUGGGCGCAAGCCUGAUGCAGCAACGCCGCGUGGGGGACGACGGCCUUCGGGUUGUAAACCUCUUUUGGCAGGGAAGAAGCGAAAGUGACGGUACCUGCAGAAAAAGCACCGGCUAACUACGUGCCAGCAGCCGCGGUAAUACGUAGGGUGCAAGCGUUGUCCGGAAUUAUUGGGCGUAAAGAGCUCGUAGGCGGUGUGUCACGUCUGCUGUGAAAAUCCAAGGCUCAACCUUGGACUUGCAGUGGGUACGGGCACACUCGAGUGCGGUAGGGGAGAUUGGAAUUCCUGGUGUAGCGGUGGAAUGCGCAGAUAUCAGGAGGAACACCGAUGGCGAAGGCAGAUCUCUGGGCCGUAACUGACGCUGAGGAGCGAAAGCGUGGGGAGCGAACAGGAUUAGAUACCCUGGUAGUCCACGCCGUAAACGGUGGGAACUAGAUGUGGGGUCCGUUCCACGGAUUCCGUGUCGCAGCUAACGCAUUAAGUUCCCCGCCUGGGGAGUACGGCCGCAAGCUAAAACUCAAAGGAAUUGACGGGGGAAUCUCUAGAGAUCCCCGGUACGAGCUCGAAUCGUAAUCAUGUCAUAGCUGUUCUGUGUGAAUUGUAUCGGCUCACAUCCACACACAUACGAGCGAGCAUAAGUGUAAGCUGGGGUGCUAAUGAGUGACUAACU